ensembl:lncRNA
AUGAUAAAAUUGUCUGAAUCCAAGAAGUUUCCAUGUUUCUUUUACCCUGAAAACAGUGAAGAUUCAUGUUGCUGUUUGAGGAGAAGCUUUACCUACCCUGAUGCAUACAUGUGGAACCCUCUACAUUUCCAUUCUGGAAAGGUCUUCCAUGGCGAAUAUCAUACUGAUGACAACGACAAAAUUACAUGUUUACCUCACACCAAGAUGUUGCUUCAGUGCACCUGCAGUAGUUUGACACGCCGUAUCAUGGUGUUUCCACUUGAGAGAGCACUGUACCUGCCCGUCUCCAAAUUAAAUUCAGUAAGAUGUUUGUUACGGUUGAAAAUUCAACUAAAACGUAGCACUCUUAAAUCCGGUGUUUUUAGAAAUAAUACGAAAAGCUCUUUGUGUAGAUGCAUUUCUUAUAAUACUUCAUGUAGCUAUAUGUAGGUGUACCUAUUACGUAUGCACUCAAAGAUCUGAAUGCAUCGGGUGUUGCAGUAUUUUAUUGGUGUUUAUGUGUGUUGGUGUUUGAGAAGCAUGCAUGUGUUUGUGUAUGGAUGCAAGUGCUUGUAUGGGUGGGGAUUUUGUAUCUCUGUCUAUAUAUAUAUUUGACAUACCCACCCACAUCCUUAUGAACAGAGUCGUUCACAUUCUCUGUGCAUGUGAUGUGGGUGUGUGUGUAAUGUAGAAGUGUGAAUAGUGUGGGAAGGGGAAGCUUAGAAUAUCGUGGUAAUAGAUGACACAGUUUCAUUUGAUCAGUGUGACCUUUUAGGAAAACAAUCCAAUCUUUUCCCUUUUUGUUUUGUUUAUUUUUGUGUGUUUGUGCAUGUGCCUCAGGUUAAGUGCUUCUUCUGCAUGACCAUAACCAAAGGGUGACCCAUCCACUCCCUUAUGUCCUAUGGGGACCUCAGAACCAAUUUCUCAGUCUUCAUCUCCUCCUCCUCCUCUUACCACUGCUGCUGACGCCCUGGGUGCUGCUCCCAGGUUUGAAACGUUGUUGACAGGCUGAAGAAAGGAUUUGCAAAGACCUCCUCACUGUGUAAGGAGAGUGAUGGCUGGAAUUAGUUUCAACGCCCCAAACAAUGGUAUUAAACAAUAAUAAGAUUGCUAGGCCAAAGCAUUACCAGGAACAAAUUAUGAGGAAAGAGACUAUUUGCAUUUGGUUGCAAUGAUGAACUAAAAUCAUUUAUGGAGAGCAGGUACCCUUUGUUUUGCAUGUUUUUGUCUUCACGAAUGUAGUCACGAAUCUGAUCAGAUCAGUGGUAGAUAUGGGAAAUAAAUGAAAAUAAAAGGGCCUAGUGGAUGAAAGAAUAAAGCCUCUGCUGUUCCUUGGUCUAGUUUGAGAGUUUCAUCUUUUCUUAUUAGCAAAACAAUAGGUGUUGUUUUUUUGUUGUUUUUUUUUCCCCCCCAAAACGUUUUAGACAGUAAGAAAAUGCAAAUCUGUGGCUUCCCAAAAGAUAGAUUCAGUGUUGCAAUUAUGUUGCCCCGCUCUGUGUCCAGUGCACUGUCCUCCAAUGCAAAUAGCUUUAAACUUUCUAUAGUGAAAGUCAAGGUUGCACCGUAAAUAAAACAAAAGCUUUUGCUCUAAACA